rnacentral:lncRNA from 1 species
GGUGUAUCUUCAACUAUACAGGAAGAGGAAGGCCUCUAGGUCUUUCUCCUUUUUACAAACCGGUGGCCCUGGGGAAAAGAGCCCUUCUCGGAACACACAAACCGAGCCUUUUACGCUUCCGUCCGCUUUAGCCCAAUUGCCCCCGCAUUAGCGCGGAGCAGGUCCCUGCCGGGCGGUCAGUAGGCUCCAUGUCCAGUGCCGGUCUCGCCCGCCGCCCCCACCCGGAAGGGUGAGGGGGUGGCAGGCUAAAUGGGUGGCAGGCUCAAGGGAGACCAGGGAACGGCCGGCUCGCUCCCACGCCCGCGGAGGUGGGAGGCACCGCCCCGCGCCCCUUCGCCCCGAGGGCCCGGAGGUGCAGCCCUGGGGGCCGAGGGCCCGUGCGCCAGCUGCUCGUCCCCGCCGGCGUCUGUGGCCGCCAAGGCCUCCUCGCGCGGCCCUUACCCCGGUGCCGUUGUCGCACACCACCACCUUCCUGCCCUGGCUGUCCAUCGUCCGCCCAGGGAAGAGCCGCUGCAGCCGCACAACCUACAGCCACCGCCGCCCGGCCGUUUUCUCUUCUUCCUCUUGCGUCUUCCCGGCCCCUCCUUCGGCCCAACUUUUUUCCCCCGACCGGAAGCCGCCGCCGGGCUCCGCCCGUCAUUUAGCUGAAUGCCUGCACGAAAAGGGUGGGACGGGCAGGCAGCGCGACUGGCAGCGGUGAGCUCCAAUAAAAGAUGGAGGAGCGUCGAGGCCCCUCCCGCAGCUCCGCUUCCGGCUCGGCUGUCACGGUCGCUGCCCACCCGGGUUCUUCGCUGCUUCUAGUUCCGGGCGCUUUGCCGGGCGUUAAUGGCGGCCAACAUCGCCGGUGCUGCGGCUUUCUCCCUAAAGUGUCACAGGAGCUAAGGGCGCUGCUUAACGAACUGCAGAAGACGCAGGCAGGUGAAGGACACCGGUUCUGCUGCGGCAGUGGAAUGUGGCGGAGAAGCUGGCGGGUAGGGCGGGGAGCAAGCCUGGAGGUCCUGGCGGACCCCACCAUUCGACAGGGCUUGGUGUGUUAUUGCUUCUAGGCCUUUUCAGCGGACAGAACUGGGAUGGAUACACACAUGCUUAUUUGAAAUCAUGCGUUUGUUCCAUACUCCAAUGUCAGCCCACCCCUUCUUUGCCCAAGUUGCUCUAUGGUCAAGUGAGCGAGAGCAGGUGCCUGCAUUUCCAGCCUCGUGGCUCACCGCCUCCUUCCAGUAGUCCCAUGUUGCUUCACACCUCUUAAGUACAUGUACUUCUGUGAACCCAGAGCCUUGGCUUUGAAAUCAGACAACCCCAGUUUCAAACGUGGCGCUGCCACUCACGAGUUUUGUGAUUUUGGCAUACCCCUGUCUGCAUGGGGAUAAUAACUUCUAUCUCCAUAGGUGUGGUGAGGAUAAAAGUCUAUGCAUGGAGGAAAUGUUCAUUCAGUGGUAGCUAUUUCUAAUUCUGUUCUUCUGGACCUAUGAUUCUAUCUACGAUGCCUCAUUUUUUUUCCUUUUUAAUCAAUUGGCAAACUUGUGCUCUGAGACCCAGCUUGUUACAUCUCUGAUGACAGCUGAUAUCCUCAGGAUAUUCCGUACUUCCUUUCUCCCUAUUACUUUACUAUGAAUAUAUGAAUAACAUUGUGCUUAUUGCAUGCAACAAAUAUUUAUUAGAUGAAUGACAUUAAAAUUCACCUUUAAAAUGCCAUCCUUUAUGAGAGGUGAGAAAUAGAACUUUUCCUUCGACAUGGCUGUACAUGUUCAACAACUAGAAUAAAACAGUCAUCAUGAACCCUCAAUCCAGUAUUCUUUUUAUAAUAUAGCUGCCUGUCAGUUUUCACUGUUCUUUUAUUAGACCAGUGAUUUUCAAACCUUUUUAAAGGCAUACAGUGCUUUAUUCAAAUCUAAUCUUAUAUGGAACCCUCAACACAUAAAUAUUAAGAUAAAAAUAAAGCUGCCAUUGUUGCAAUUAGAAGUUUGAGAGGUUAGAAUAGGUAGGAAGUCUCGGAGGAACAUUUCUUCGUUUUACCUGCUUUAACAGUCAGAGAAGUACCUCAGCCAGCAGAAAAAUUUAUUUGUUCAUAAAUUCCUUGAGUAUAGAGUCCGUAUCUUAUUUUUGUGGCCUCCAAUGCUAGUGCUGUGCAGUUUUCUUGAAAGUGCAUUUUAUUGGUCUCAGCAAAUUGAACUCAAGCAUUUCUGUGUUCUUUUACUUUUCCUCUUUGUGGAAUUAAGGGGAUUGCUAAUUUGUAUUUUUAAAGAAAGAACAUUAUUCCGGGCGCGGUGGCUCACGCCUGUAAUCCCAGCACUUGGGGAGGCCAAGGAGGGCAAAUCACCUGAGAUCAGGAGUUCAAGACAAGGCUGACCAACAUGGCAAAACCCCGUCUCUACUAAAAAUACAAAAAUUAGCUGGGCGUGUUGGCACGCGCCUGUAAUCCCAGCCACUCAGGAAGCUGAGGCAGGAGAAUCGCUUGAACCCGGGAAGCAGAGGUUGCAGUGACAGAGAUCGUGCCACUGCACUCCAGCCUGGUGAGAGCAAGACUCUGUCUCAAAAAAAAAAAAAAAAAAUUGGCAAGUUUGGCCCUAAAAUUUAUAUGAAAUGAAAAGGAACCAGAAUAAAAGGAUUUCGAAACAGAAAAAGAUGGAGAACUUCCACUACCUGAAUUCAAAACUUAUUAUAAAGCUACAGUAAUGAAGACUGUAAUACUGGCAUAGAGGCAGAUAUAUCGAUCAAUGGAAUCAAAUAGUCCACAAAUAAACCUUUACAUUAUGGUCAGUUGAUUUUCAACAAUGGUGCUAAAACAAUCCAUGGGGAAAGGGUAAUCUUUUCAAUGAAUGAUGUGGGAGGGAAAAAAAAGAACUUUGAUUCUUACCUCACAUCACACAUAAAAAUUGAUUUAAGUGGAUCAUAGACCUAAAUAUAAAAGCUAAAACUAUAAAUUUCAGAAGAAAAAGAGGAAAAUCUUUUGAUAUUAAGUUAAGCAAAGUUUGCUUAGAUAUGACGCUAAAAUCGUGAUCUAUAAAAGAAAAAAUUGAUAGUUGACAUAAUAGAAAUUUAAAGCUUUUAGUUCAUGUAUUGAAACAAAAAAUCUAGACUGGGACAAUGGCUCACAUCUGUAAUCCCAGCACUUUGGGAGACCAAGGUGGGUGGAUCGCUUGAGCUCAGGAGUUCAAGACCAGCCUAGGCCAGAUGGUGAAACCCCAUCUCUACAAAAAAUACAAAAAUUAGCUGUGCAUAUAGUCCCAGCUACUUGGGAGGCAGAGGUGGGAAGAUGGUUUGAGCCCAGGAGGCAGAAUUUGCAGUGAGCUGAGAUUGCGCUACUACGCUACAGCCUGGGUGACAGCCAGACCCUAUCUAAAAAAAAAAAAAAAAAAAAAAGAAGAAGAAAACAAAAACAAAAAAUCUUGGUCUGUCUUAGGCAACAAGCAAUUAAAAAAAAAGUAGAAAAUAAAGCAAAAGGGCCGGGCGCAGUGGCUCACGCCUGUAAUUCCAGCACUUUGGGAGACUGAGGCGAGUGGAUCACCUGAGGUCAGGAGUUUGAGACCAGCCUCGCCAACAUGGUGAAACCCCAUCUCUACUAAAUACAAAAAUUAGCUGGGCGUGGUGGCGGGCACCUGCAAUCCCAGCUACUUGGGAGGCUGAGGCAGGAGAAUUGCUUAAAUCCAGGAGGCAAAGGUUGCAGUGAGCCAAAAUCAUGCCACUGCACUCCAGCCUGGGCAACAGAGCAUAACUCCAUCUCAAAAAAAAAAAAAAAAAAGAAAAAGAAAAAGAAAAGCCAUGAACUAGAAGAAAAUAUUUGAAUAGAUAUUUUACCAAAGAAGAUUUAUGAAUGGCAAAUAAGUACAUAAAAAGAUAUUCAUCAUCAUUAAUCAUUAGAGAAAUGCACAUUGAAAGCAUAAUAAGAUAACACUUAAUACCCACUAGAAUGGCUAUAAUCAGAAAAAUAGAAAACAAGUUUUGGCGGGGCUAGGUGGCUCACACCUGUAAUCCCAACACUUUGGGAAGCCAAGGCGAGUGGCUCACUUCAGGUCAGGAGUUUGAGACCAGCCUGACCCAACAUGGUGAAACCCCGUCUCUACUAAAAAAUACAAAAAUUAGCCGGGCGUGGUGGCAGGUGCCUGUAAUCCCUGCUACUUGGGAGGCUCAGGCAGGAGAAUCGCUUAAACCUGGGAGGCAGAGAUUGCAGUGAGCGGAGAUCGUGCCACUGCACUCCAGCCUGGGUGACAGCGAGACUCCGUCUCAAAAACAAACAAAACAAAAUAAAACAAAAAAAAAUGGAAAACAAGUUUGGCAAGAAUGUGGAGAAACAAACACUCCUACAUUCCUGGUGAGAAUGUAAAAUGGUACAGGCACUUUGGAAAGCAGUUUGACAGUUUUUUAAAAAAUUAAGCAUAAAUUGCCAUAUAACCCAGCAAUUUCACGCCUAGGUAUAUACCUAAAAGAAAUGAAAACAUAUGUCCAUGGACUCAUACCUACAUGUCCAUUGCAGAAUUACUCAUAAUAGGCAAAAAGUGGAAACUAUUCAAAUGUCUUAUCAGUUUGUGAAUGAGUAAACAAUAUGUAGUACAGCCAUACAAUAGAAUAUUUGGUGAUAAAAAUAAACCAAUACAUGCUGUAACAUGGAUGAAAGUAAAAAAACACUAUAGCAGAUAAAAAGACUGUGAUUUCAUAGGAAAAUCACAAAUAUAGAAAAAGCAAGAUUAUAGAUACAGAAAGCAGGUUAGUGAUUGCUGGGGCUGAAACUGGAAGCCAGGUUUGGCUGCAGAUGGGCAUGGGACAACUUUACGGAUUGAUGGAAUACUAAAACUAGAUUUUGGUAAUGGUUACACAACCAUAAAAAUUUACUAAAAAUAAACUGCACACUUGUAAUAGGUAAAUUUUGAGAUGUGUAAAUUUCAUGUUGUAACUCCAAUAAGGCUUUAAAAAAUUUAAGUUACCUGCCCAAAUGUACCUAUCAUGUAGCAGAAGCAGGAUUAGACACAGGUGUGCCUGUCCUCAAAGCCUGAGCUCUGUUUACCCAGAGUUUUGGAAACUCCAGAUCUAUCAUGAAAACCUAAGUCAUUCUUAACCCGAGUCAUCCUACUCAGGAAUGACUUUUUUAUUAUAAUUUUAUUGUUUUUUAUUUUAUUGUAUUUAAAAGAAAUAGAGAUUGUGGCUGGGCACGGUGGCUCAUGCCUGCAAUGCCAGCACUUGGGGAGGCCAAGGCAGGUGGAUCAGUGGAGGCCAGAAAUUCAAUACCAGUCUAGCCAACAUGGUGAAACCCCAUCUCUAUUAAAAAUACAAAAAUUAGCUGAUUGGCCUGGGAGGCAGAGGUUGUAGUGAGCUGAAAUCACCCCACAGCACUCCAGCCUGGGUGACAGAGUGAGACCCUGUCUCAAAAAAAAAAAAAAAAAAAGGAAAGAAAAAGAAAGAGGGAGAGCAAGAAAGAAAGAGAGAGAGAGAAAGAAAGAAAAGAAAAAAAAAGGAAAGAGGGAGGGGGAGAGAGAGAGAAAGAGAGAGGGAGAGAGAGAGAGAGAUUGGGUCUCGCUAUGUUAACCAGGUUGGUCCCCAACUCCUGGCCUCAAGUGAUCCUCAUCUCAUUGGGAUCCUCCCUCCCAAUCCCAACGUGUUAGGAUUACAGGUGUAAGCCACUGCACCUGGCCUAGGAAGGACUUUUUGGGAGGGAUUCUAUCAUCUCACUUGGAUCUGGGAAUACAGGUAUGAGCCACCAUGCCCAGCCUGAGAACAAUACAAUUAUUCUUUUCUAGCUAUUUUGAAAUAUAUGAUAAAAUAUUGUCAACUAUAAUUUCCCUAUUGUAUUUUCAAAUACUAGAACUUCUAUCUAACUGUAUUUUUUUGACAAUUAACUAAUUUCUCUUUGUCUUCGCCCUCCCCAGUUUCCCUUCCCAGACUCUGAUAACGACCAUUCUAUUCUCUAUCUCCAUGGUAUCUACUAUUUUACCUCCCAUAUGUAAGUGAGAAUAUGUAAUAUUUGUCUUUCUGUCCCUGGAUCAUUUCACUUAGCAUAAUGUCCUCCAGCUCCAUCUAUGUUGUUGCACAUGACAGGAUCUCAUUCUUCUUUAUGGCUGAAUAGUACUCGAUUGUGUAUGUGUACUGCAUUUUCUUUAUCCAUUCAUCCAUUGAUGGACACUUAGGUUGAUUCCCUAUCUUGGCUAUUGUGAAUAGUGCCGCAGUAAACAUGAGAGUGCAGAUAUCUCUCCAAUAUACUGAUUCCUUUCUAGGGAUGUAUACCUCGCAGUGGGGAUUGCUGGAUCAUAUGGUAGUUCUACUGAUAAACACACUUAAAACAAUUUCAAUACCUGCCAGGUGCGAUGGCUCAUGCCUGUAAUCCCAGCACUUUGGGAGGCCAAGGCAGGUGGGUCACCUGAGGUCAGGAGUACGAGACCAGCCUGGUCAACAUGGUGAAACUCUAUCUCUGCUAAAAAUACAAAAAUUAGCUUGGUGUGGUGGCACGUGCCUGUAAUCCUAGCUACUCCAGAGGCUGAGGCAGGAGAAUCGCUUGAACCAGGAGACAGAUGUUGUAGUGAGCUGAGAUGGUGCCACUGCACUCCAGUCUGGGUGACAGAGUGAGACUCUGUCUCCAAAAAAAAAAGAGAUAAUAAAACAAUUACAAUGCCUUUAUUAUAACUAACAAAAUUUACAGUAAUUUCUUAUUGGCUAAUAGCCCAUAUCCAGUUUUUCCUAAUUGUCUCAAAAAUGUUCUAAACAAUGUCCAAAAAUUACAUUUGUUUGAUAUGUCUAUUUUAUUUUAUCUUAUUUUAUUUUAUUUUUGAGAUAGAGUCUUGCUCUGUCACCCAGGCUGGAGUGCAGUGGCGCUAUCUCGGCUCACUACAAUCUCCACCUCGCAGGUUCAAGCAAUUCUGCUGCGUCAGCCUCCUCAAUAGCUGAGAGUACAGGCGCAUGCCACCACACUCAGCUAAUUUCUGUAGUUUUAGUAGAAAUGGGUUUUCACCACAUUGGCCAGGCUCUUGACCUCAGGUGAUCCACCCGCCUUGGCCUCCCAAAGUGCUGGGAUUAUAGGCAUGAGCCACUGCUCCCAGCCGAUAUGUCUAUUUUAGUUUACAAAAUGGUGCGGCCACUUUGGAAAGCAGUCUUGCAGUUCCCCAAAAGGUUUAAUAUAGAGUUACCAUAUGACUCAGUAAUUUUACUCCUAGGUAUACACCCAAGAUAAAUGAAAAAAGUUUUUUUUAAAUCAUAUUCUAAACAAGAUUCACAAAUUGCAUUUGCUUGAUAUUUGUAUUUUAGUUUAUAACACUUUCUUCUCUCUCUCUCUGUCUCUUCCUGAGACAGGGUCUCUCUCUGUUGCUUAGGCAGGAGUGCAGUGGCAUGAUCAUAACUCACUGUAACGUUGAACUAGACUCAAGCAAUCCUCCCGCCUCAGCCUCCUGAAUACUAGGACUACCGGCAUGUACCACCAUACCCAGCUAAUCUUUAAAAAUUAUUUUGGAGAGAUGGUGUCUUGCUGUGUUGCCCAGGCUGGUCUUAACUCCUGGCCUCAAGUGAUCUCCCCACUCAGCCUCCCAAAAUGUUGGGAUUACAAGCAUGAGCCACCACACCUAGCCCCUCUCUUUUUUUAUGCCUUUUUUUUUGUCUGAAGCCUGGGUCAUUUGGCCUGUAGGAUUUCUCAUGUUCUGGAUUUGGCUGACUGUUCCCAUAGUGUAUUGUUCUUGUUCCUCUAACCUCCAUAUUUUUUAUAAACUAGUAGUUAGAUCUAGAAACUUGAUUAGGUUUAGGUUCAGUUAUUUUGGCAAGAUUAUUCAUAGGCAGCAGCAUGUACUUCUCAUUGCAUCACAUUUGGAGGAAUGUGAUGUCUGGGUGUCCCACAUUUAGUGAUGUUAAAAUUAUUCAGUGGGUUCUGGUGUUAUCACAUGAUCUAUCACAGAGUUCCCACUGAACCUGUCACCUAAUAGUUUUAGCAGCCAUUAAUAAUUGCUGCCUUAUUGGACCAGGUAACAUGACUAAGUGCAGUUUGCCUAACUCAUAACUUUUUAUUUCCAAAAACUUAUAGGUUUUGACCUUAUUAGCCAUUCCAGUUGCUUUCAAAUAGAAGAAUUAUAGUUUUGAAGCUAGUUGAUGAUUUUUUAAAAUAAAAAAAACUCUUAGGCACUUCUUGUGUACAAUAUAAACUAUAAUUUUAGUAGACAUUUUAGUUGUGAUAUUCGUUAUUCUUUUUCUUAUUUUUUUUUUUUUUUUUUUUUUUGAGAUGGAGUCUUGCCCUGUUACCCAGGCUGGAGCGCAGUGGCAUCAUCUCGGCUCACUGCAAUCUCCAUCUCCUGGGUUCAAGCGAUUCUCCUGCCUCAGCCUCCUGAGUAGCUAGGAUUACAGGCAUGUGCUACCAUGCCCAGCUAAUUUUUUGUAUUUUUAGUAAAGAUGGGUUUCACCAUGUUAGCUAGGCUGGUCUCGAUCUCCUGACCUCGUGAUCCACCCACCUCAGUCUCCCAAAGUGCUGGGAUUACAGGCAUGAGCCACUACGCCCAGCCUUGUUUGUUUUUUUGUUUGUUUGUUAAUGAAAGUCUCGCUCUGUCAGCCAGGCUGGAGUGAGCAGCCUGAUCUCAGCUGACUACAACCUCCACCUACCAGGCUCAAGCAGUUUUCCUGCCUCAGCCUUCCAAGUAGCUGGGACUACAGGUGUGUGCCACCACAUACAGCUAAUUUUUGUAUUUGUAGUAGAGAUGGGGUUUCACCAUGUUGGCCAGGCUGGUCUCAAACUCCUGGUCUCAAGGGAUCCUCCUACCUCAGCUUCCCAAAGUGCUAGGAUUAUAGGUGUGAGCCCUGCGCCUGGCCCCUCAUUCUUUUAUCUCUCUCUCACCUCACAUCAUCUACAGAAACUAACUCAAAAUGGAUCAAAGACCUAAAUAUAAGAGCUAAAAUCAUAAACAUAGAAGGGAUAGGUAUAAAUGUUUAUGACUUCAGAUUAGGCAAUAGAUUUUUAGAUAUAACAUCAAGGGUACAACAACAAAAGAAAAAAUAGAUAAAUUGGACUUCAUCAAAAUUUAAAAUGUGUGCACUACAAAUGACUCCAUCAAGACAGUGAAAAGACAACUCACAGAAAGAUAGAAAAUAUCAGCAAAUCAUAUAUCCUAUAAGGGACGUGUAUGUAGAAUAUACAAAGAACUUUUACAACUCAGUGAACAAAACAACCAAAAAACAAAACAAAAUAGCCAGGCACAGUGGCUGGCAUCUAUAAUCCCAGCUACUCGGGAGGCUAAGUUGGGAGCAUCACUUGAGCCCAGGAGUUUGAGGCUGCAAUGAGCCAUUAUCACACCACUGCUGUACUCCAGUCUGGGUGACAGAGUGACAUCCCAACUCUAAAAAUAAAAAAAAAAAACAAAGAACCAAAAUUUUAAAAUGGGCCAAACCAUUUGAGCAGACAUUUGGCCAAAGAAGAUAUAAAAAUGGCCGAUAAGUACACGAAUCAUUAGCCAUCAGGUAAAUGCAAAUCAAAAUAGCAAGAUUACAUUUCAUACCCACUAGGUUGGCUAUCAUCAAAAGGACAGUAAAUGUUUUUUGUGUUUUUUUUUUUUUUUUUUUUUUUUUUGAGACGGAGUCUCACUCUGUCGCCCAGGCUGGAGUGCAGUGGCGCGAUGUCGGCUCACUGCAAGCUCCGCCUCCCGGAUUCACGCCAUCCUCCUGCCUCAGCCUCCCGAGUAGCUGGGACUACAGGCGCCCGCCACCACGCCUGGCUAAUUUCUUUUUUUGUAUUUUUGGUAGAGACGGAGUUUCACCAUGUUAGCCAGUAUGGUCUCGAUCUCCUGGCCUCGUGAUCCGCCCGCCGCGCCCAGCCAAAGGACAGUAAAUGUUAAUGAGGGUGUGGAGAAACUGGAACCCUCAUGCAUUGCUGGUGGAAAUGCAAAAUGGUGCAGCCACUUUGGAAAGCAGUCUGGCAGUUCCCCGAAAGGUUUAACAUAGAUUUACCAUAUGACUCAAUAAUUUUACUCCUAGGUAUAUACCCAAGGGAAAUGAAAACAUGUGUCCAUACGAAAACUUGCACACAAAGAUUCAUAGCAACAUUAAUCAUAAUACCCAAAAAGUGGAAACAACCCAAAUGUCCAUUACCUGGUGCGGGGAUAAAAUGUGGUGCUCAUAUAUCCAUAUAAUAGACUAUCUUUGGCCAUAAAAGGGAAUGAAAUACUGAUACAUGCCACAGCAUGGAUGAACCUCCAAAACAACAUGUGCUGAGGGAAAGAAGCUGGUUGCAAGAGGCCACAUAUUGUAUGAUUCAAUUUUAUAUUAAGUUUCCAGAAUAGGCAAAUCUAUAAAGACAGAAAAUAGACUAGUGGUUGCUUGAACUGGGUGGGAGGUGGGGGAGCAGGUGGCAGAGAAAUGGGGAGUGACUGCUAACAGGUAUGAAAUUUCAUUUUGUGAUAAUGAAAAUGUUCUAAAAUUGAUUGUGGUGAUGGUUGCACAAAUUUACCAUUGAAUUAUACACUUCAAAUGAGUGAAUUAUAUGAUAUGUUGAUUGUAUCUCAAUAAAGCUAUUAAUGUUAUUUCAGGAAAAGAAAUUUGGGGAUGAAAGUUAAAGCACUUCAUUCAGGGAUACGCUGCUCCGCUGUUAGGACUAGAACUUGAUUGAUUGAUUUUGUCAGUACUUUUUCCAAUCCAAAAGUUAUCUUUCAUAUCAAAUACUCUGAUUUUGUGACUGAACUAACUCCAAAUCCUAAAUGCUGAGUCUUGCUUCACCAAAUAAAGCUGAGAUUUUUAGAGAGAAAAAAAUAUUCUCUUUAAGCCAGUUGAAGUGAUGAUCCAACUCUGACAAGGACAGUCACAGAGGCCUUUUUAGUGGUGGCACAAUAUAGAGGCUAAGAGCUAAGAAUCCAGCAUCAUAUCGAAGACUUGAAUUUAAAACCUGGACCCCCUACUUCUUAGCUCUCUCCUUGAGGAAAUUGCUUAAUCUCUUACAUGGAUUGUCUCAUUUGAUACUCCCAUUGGUCCUGAAAUGCAGAUAUUACUAUUCCCCUCCGGUUUUUUUGUUUGUUCGUUUGUGUUUUUUUAUUUAUUUUUUUAAACAAAUGAGAAAACUAAAGCUCAGCAAAUUUAAGUAACUGGUCAAGUUCACACUUCCAUAAACAGUAAAACUGCUGUUCAUAGCUUUGUCUACUUACCUCCAAAACUAUGCAUCCUAAUCAAUUAUAAACCAUAAUCAUCCCAAUUUAUCAAUUUAGAAUGGAAGACAUUCCAUUUAUUUAUUUAUUUAUUUAUUUAUUUCAGACAGUCUGGCUCUGUCACCCAGGCUGGAGUGCAGUGGUGAAAUCUCGGCUCACUGCAACCUCUGCCUCCUAGGCUGAGACAAUCCUUCCACUUCAGCCAGUAGCUGGGACUACAGGCAGGCACCACCAAGGCCCAGCUAAUUUUUGUUUGUUUUUUUGUUUUGUUUUUUGUUGUUGUAGAUACAGGGUUUCACCAUGUUGGCCAGGCUGGUCUUGAACUCCUAAGUUCAAGCAAUCCUCCGUCCUCGGCCUCCCAAAGUGCUGGGAUUACAGAUGUGAGCCACCACGCCUGGCCCAUACCUUUUAUUAACCAACAGAUGUGAGCCAUCUCUUCAGAAGCCUCAUUUUCUGGUUUUAAAACGCUUGAAAGUUGAAUUCGUAAUCAGAAAAUUGAUAGGCAAGUGUGGUAUCUGAACAGAGAGGCUGGAACUAUUCCAUGCAGAUAGAGAGAGAAUCUCCCUCCCUUCCUAACACCAGUAGGGUUCUGACCCAACCAGAUGUUAUUAGUCAACAAAUAUGUACAGAACACCCACGGUAUGCCAGGCUCCAUUCUAGGACCUGGGCAUGGUUUUUGCCUUUAUGAAGCUUACAUUCUUGUUGGGAGAGACAUAUUGAACAAGCAAACUUAAAAAAUGUGAUAAAUUCAGAUAAUGAGAAGUGCUAUAAGGAAAAAUAAUUAAAAGUGACUUAGAAUGGGGAACACCGCUCUAAGGAGGUAGCACACAACCUGAACCUUUUAUCAUUGUUAGAUUCAGCUGUGAGCGACAGAAGACCCUGGUAACAGUGUCUUAGAACAUCGAUGUUUAUUUCUCUGCCACCUAAAUGAAGUUGGUAGGUAAACAUUCUAGGGCCGAAUGACACUCCACAGCAACAGGGAUCUGGCCUCCUGUCCUUAUGGCUUUGCCAUCUUCAUCAUACAGCUUCUGCUUCAUAGUAUAUAAUGGUUGUUUUUGCUACCCUUAUCAUUUUUACAUCUCAGCCAGUAAGAAAGAGGAAGGGGUGGGGUUUGGGACAUGGAGAUGAUGAAGUGCAAGCUUCUUCCUUUUAGGGACUGUUUCUGGAAGCUCCAUAUUUUAUAGUGUUUCUAGUUCCAUCUCACUAGCUAGAACUUCGCUAGUCCUAUUUACCUGUCAGAGAGGCUGGAAAAUGUAGUCUUUGUUCUGGAUAGCCAUGUGCCGAGAUAAUAAUUAGGAGUUUUAUUUCCAAGAAAGAGGGAAGGAUGGAUAUUGGGGGACAACUAGUGAUCUUUGCUUUGAAGAAAAGAAAGACAGAGUGAAAUAAAAAAAAUUAGUUUAGUGUGUUCAUUCAAGGAAUAGAAGAAGGCCCGUGGGACUAGAGUAUACUAAGUAAAGGGAAGAAUGGUAGAUGGAGGGCUUUGUAAACCAUAAUAACAUUAGCUUCUAGUCCAGUAAGAGUGGCAUACCUUUGGCAGGUUUUGUUUUAAAACUAGACUUUGAGAAAUAAUGACAUCUGGUCAAGCAUGACACAUUUUCUCCACUCUUUCCUUGAUUCCAACAAAGUGACAGCUAAGGUUUUGGGUUUUUUAAAAAAACAAAACCCACAAGAAGACAAAAAGACAUGGAAAAGAGAGAAAAGAAGAUGAUCAGCAAAUAUAAACUGGAGAGCAGAUGAAGGAAUGACAAUUAACUAAGAAAACUUUAGAAGGCUGAAAACUUAAUGCCUGAGGUGAAAAUGGAGGGAAAAAAAGCAAGCCUGUUCAUGAAGCAGAAUCCCGAAAAGGACCUGGUUGAAAAUAUGUCCAAAUCAGUUGGACUCUUAAAUAACCUCCUUCAGCCCUUGCAGCCAAUGACCCACUCCUCUGUAAUGGAGUAGAGCAGUUUUACUCUCAGGUUAGUUGAAGAAAAAGGCAGUCUAUUCUCAGGGACAAGCAUAUCUGAGGAUGAGAGCCUUAUUAGAAACAGGGAGGUAAUGAGAAGUCUAUAUCCAAAGGGUGAGAAACCUAAUCUCCUUCCCAAUAAGCCGGUAGUCAAUUUUCCACUUCCACCCUACCUCAUUCAUCUUUCUCUUUUGGUGAAGAAAAAAAAAAAAAAACACCUAUUCAGAGACAAUAUCAGCAGAUACUGACAGCUGGUGGUCCCCUAACAAAAGUAGUCAAACCCCUGCUGACAGUGAAACCCACUAGUCAGCGAGACUCAGCAUUUCAACACACAGCUUCCAAUCAGUGGGGCUUUUUUGGUUUUGUUUUAUUUUUAGUGUUUUAUUUAUUUAUUUAUUUUCUUUCUUUCUUUUCUUUCUUUCCUUCUUUAGAGACAGAGUCUUGAUCUGUCAGCCAGGCUGGAGUGCAGUGGCUCAAUCAGAGCUCACUGCAGUUUUGAACUCCUGGCCUCAAGUAAUCCUGCCACCUCGGUCUCCCAAUGUGCUGGGAUUAUGGGCAUGACAGCCUAAACUCAUCAGACCAAUAUCAGAAUAUUAUUUCUAGAAAGAAAGAGCAGAAAGCAGAGAUAAAAAAUUAUUUGAGAAAAAUAAAAUAUUAUUUUCAAGAGUCUAGAAACAAUUUUCUAGAUAUGCUGCCUUCCUCAGAUAGUUACUGAAGGGAAGUGGGGGAGUUACUCAAGAAAUAUGAAAUCAGAGGAACUAGGAGGCCAGGGAUCCAAUACAGGAGGGAGACAAGAAUUCCAUGAAUGCUGAUGGAACAAAAAUCCCAAGGAAGGAAAUCAACCUCUCUCUCUCUUUCUCUCUCUCUCUCUCUCACUCACACACACAAUAGAUUUUCUGAUGUAUUUUAAAACUUCGAGAAAUAUAUACUUGUAGUUUGGUGAUGAAUUAGUGAUAGCAAGAACAAAGAAAAACUAAGGGCCGGGCACAGUGGCUCACACCUAUAAUCCCAGCACUUUGGGAGGCCGAGGCAGGCAGAUCACCUGACAUCAGGAGUUCAAGACCAGCCUGGCAAACAUGGUGAAACCUUGUUUCUACUAAAAAAGAAAAUCCAAAAAAUUAGCUGAGCAUGGUGAUGCACGCCUAUAAUCCCAGCUACUCGGGAGGCUGAGGCAGGAGAAUCUCUUGAACCUGGGAGGCGGAGGUUGCAGUGAGUUGAGAUCGCGCCACUGCACUCAAGCUCAGGCAACAAGAGUGAAACUCCAUCUCAAAAAAAAGAAAAGAAAAAAAGAAAAACUAAGGGAAAAAUGAUUAAGUCUAUGAAAUGAUUAAGUCUAGGAAAAAAUUUUAAAACUAUAGGCCGUGCGUGUGGCUCACACCUGUAAUCCCAGCACACUGGGAGGCCGAGGCAGGCAGAUCACUGGAGGUCAGGAGUUCGAGACGAGCCAAAAUGGUGAAACCCUGUCUCUACUAAAAAUACAAAAAUUAGCUGGGCAUGGUGGCACGCGCCUGUAAUCCCAGCUACUCAGGAGGCUGAGGCAGGAGAAGCGCUUGAACCCGGGAAGCAGAGUUUGCCGUGAGCCGAGAUCCCACCACUGCAUUCCAGUCUGGGUGACAGAGUGAGAUUCCGUGUCAAAAAUAAAUAAAUAAAUAAAUACAAUUGUAAUACCAAGGAAAUGUCAUCUUAUGGACUAUAUGACUCAGUAUGAAUGUAAAUAUUGAAUACUGGUCUAAUCCGAUAUGAUAUAUUGGUGUUCGGAUGAUAAGGGGAAAGGAAAUGUGUAUUGGGGAGGUAUCCUAAGAUAAUUAAAUGAUCUCCCACAGUAGAUGGUUAAUAGAAGAUGUCUACACUGAAAAAGAUCAAGAAAUAGUCAAAUAAGGAUGUUUAGAAAUAGAGAGUUAAAUAUCAGAAGAAACAACUAAAGGAGUUAAAGUUUUUGCCUUAUGGGAGCAGAAAUUAGGAGUAGAGAGAAUAAGAAAUUAGGAGUAGAGGGAAUAAGGCAGGGGUCUGAUGCUCAUCUUUCUAAAUCUUGUUAAACCAUUUAACUUUCUAACACGUGCGUGUGUGUAUGUGUGUGUGUGUGUGCGCGCGCACGCGUAUGCAUACGUAUUUGUAGGUAGGUAGGUUGUGGAUGGAAUACUCAGUACUAAAUAAACAGUGGUAGAUUUUUUGCUUUUUGUUUCUCCUUUUGUCAAGGCUCUAUUACCUUACACACUAUAAAUUGCAAGAUGAUAGUGUAUCCUGUUUAAUUAAAUGUUAAGCCUAGAGCUCCCUUGGGCUUCUGGAUAAAAUACGGAAGACACUCUACUAUAAAUUCAUCAACAGCACUUUUACAAACCUUUGCAACAUUUUAAUACAUGUUGCUACCAAAACUCAGGCACUUACUGUUGAUUCUUUUAGGCUUUUGCUUCCAAGUUUAAUUUUUUUGUCCUUGAGGCCUGCUGACCCAAUGUGCUGUCCAACAAGUGAACAAUGAAGCUCCUGUUGUUUAAGUUUUAUUGUAAGUUGUAUAAUAGGUCUACACUGUAAUUAAAUGUCUAUCACUUCUAUAAAUAUAAACAUAUAUGCAAUAAAACACAUAGAUGAUAAAACUUAUGCCUAUAGGAUCUAUUACACAAUGAUGUAUCAUUUUUAUUGCUCUCAGAGUUUGACUUCUAGUAGCUGACUUUUCAAUAAAUGUCCAGUGCCCCUAGUUUUAAAAAUAAAUAAAUUUGAGUUUCUCUUUUCAUGUGAUUUUAAGGAAAAAAAAAAGCUUGACAACAGUAUUCAACAUCAAAAUGUGAACUUCUGACCUCCACAUGAUCUGUCAUCACCAAAAGAAAAGUAAAUGAUCACAGCAAUUGCAAAUGUUUAAACUUAAGAAUCAUUUGGACUAUCUAGAUAAGAUGUGUAAAAUGUGAUUAAAUUCAGAAUUUAUAAAUCUUUAACCUAAAUAAGAUAUGCUAUAGUCUCAAUUUUGUGAUUAAAAUCUGAUAUAAUAGUUUGCAAUUGAAAAGAGAACAGUCUGGGUGUGGUGGCUCAUACCUGUAAUCCCAGCUCUUAGGGAGGCAGAGGUGGGAGGAUAGCUUAAGCCCAGGAGUUCAAGACCUGCCUGGGCAAUAUAUCAAGACACCGUUUAAGAAAAAAAAAAAAUGAAAAGAGAACAGACCAGGCAUGGUGGCUCACACCUGUAAUCCCAGUACUUUAGGAGGUCGAGGUGGGCGGAUCACCUGAGCCCAGGAGCUUGAGACCACCCUGGCCAACACGGCAAAACGCUGUCUCUAUUAAAAAUACAAAGAUUAGCUAGGCAUAAUGGUGCACACCUGUGGUCUCAGCUACUUAGGUGGCUGAGGCGCGAGAAUCGCUUGAGCCUGGGAGGUGGAGGUUGCAGUGAGCCCAGCUCACACCACUGCACUCCAUCCUGGGCGACACAGUGAGACUCUAGCUCAAAAAAAAAAAAAAGAAAGAAAGAGAACAAACAGAAGACUUGUGUGUUCAGUGAUAAAUUUACAUCUCUAAUGAAAAAUUAAAAAGGAAUAUAUUCCAUGGCCAAGUCCCCCAAAGGCAGUGUACCUGGAACAGAAUGAGCUUUUUUUCACAAGCUGUUUCAGGCCUUGAAGCUUAACAAACAAGUCUAAAAUAAAAAAUAUGUGUAUUUAUGGAAAUAAAAAUAGAGCCUAGUAAAACUAAGCUCAGAUCCUGCCUCUUUCAUUGGCUUGGAAGCCUAAGGUCUAUGUUGUCAACCUCCCUGGGGGAUUACUUCUUUUUCUUUAAUUGAUACAUAAUAAUUGUACAUAUUCAUGGAUACAAUGAUAUUUUGAUGCAUACAUGCAAUACAUAAUGAUGACAUCAGGGUAAUUGGGAUAUCCAUCACCUCAAACAUUUAUCAGUUCUGUUUUUUUUUUUUUUUUUUUUUUUUUUGGAGAUGGAGUUUUGCUUUUGUUGCCCAGGCUGGAGUGCAAUGGCUUGAUCUCAGCUCACUGCAACUUCUGCCUCCCGGGUUCAAGAUAUUCUCCUGCCUCAACCUCCCGAGUAGCUGGGAUUAUAGGCAUCCACCACCACGCCCGACUAAUUUUUGUAUUCUUAGUAGAGACAGGGUUUCACCACGUUGUGCAAGCUGGUCUCAAACUCCUGACCUCAGGUGAUCUGCCCGCCUCGGCCUCCCAAAGUGCUGGGAUUGCAGGCCUGAGCAACCACGCCCGGCCAAGUUUGUUCUCUUUUUAACAUAUAGAGCAUUUUAGAUGUACCAUGAGUCCCUUUUUCUUCCCAGUAUCACUCCCAGUUUCCUCUCACUUUCCCAAGAAGUAGUAUUGCCUUAAGUCAUGAUGAGUUCUUAGAGACCAUUUAAAAAAACACUCAUUAGAUGCACAUGAAAAGAGGUUCAACACCAUGAGCCAUUAUGGAAAUGCAAAUUAAAACCACAAUGAGGCCGGGCAUGGUGGCUCACACCUUUAAUCCCGGCACUUCAGGAGGCCAAGGCAGAAAAAUCAUUUGCGCCCAGGAGUUGGAGACCAGCCCAGACAACGUAGUGAGGACCCCAUCUCUACAAAAAAUAAAAAAUUAGCCGGGAAUGGUGGCUCACACCUGUGAUCCCAGCUACUUGGGGGGCUGAGGUGGGAGGAUCAUUUGAGCCCAGGAGUUUGAAACCAACAUGGGCAACAUAGUGAGACCUCAUCUCUACAAAAAAAUUAAAUAUUAGUUGGACGUGGUGGUAUGCACCUGUAGUCCCAGCUUCUCGGGAGGCUGAGGUGGGAGGAUCACUUGAGCACAGGAGAUUGAGGCUGCAGUGAGCUGUAAGGUGCACUCUAGCCUGGACAAUGGAGCAAGACUCUGUCUCCAAAACAAACAAAAAAAUGAACAAAACCACAACGAUAUACCAUUACAUACCUAUUAAAAUAUUAGAAUAACUAAAAUUUUUAAAAAUAAUGCCAAAUGCUAUUGAAAUACCAAAUACAGAAACUGUAUUUCUCAUAUAUUUCUGGUCAGCCUAUGAAACGAUACACUCAGGGUGGAAAAUACCAUUUCUUAUAAAACUAAACACUUACCAUACAACUCAGCAACUGUACAACUGAUGUGCACUUACCAUACAACCCAGCAACUGUACAAUUGGGCAUUUACCCCAGAGAAAUGAAAACAUUUAUUCACAUGGAAAUGUAUGCAUGAAUGUUCAUAACAGUUCUAUUUGCAAUAACCAAAAACUGGAAACAACCAGUUUUUGUCCUUCAAUGAAUGAAUGGUUAAACAAAAUGUGAUACACUCAUCCCAUGGAGUACUAUACAGCAAUAAAAAGAAAGAAAUUAUUGAUACACACAACUUGAAUAGAUCCCAAAGUAAUUAUGCUAAAUUUUUUAAAAACUCAUUCUUAGAAAGUUACAUACUGACAUACUGUAUACUUCCAUUUCUAUAACAUUCUUGAAGUGACACAAUUAUAGAGAUGGAGAACAAAUUAGUGGUUGCCAGGCAUUAGGAUGUGGGAGGCAGGGAGUGGGAUGGAUAUGACUAUAAACAGGUAGCAUGAGGGAUCUUUGCAAUGAUGAAGCAGUUCUGUAUCUUGACUGUGGUGGUGGUUACAUAUAUGAUAAAAUUGCAUAGAAGUACACACACAAAUGAGUGCAUAUAAAACAUGAAAUUUGAGGUUGUGGAUUAUAUCAAUGUCAAUUUAAUAGUUUUGAUAUUGAACUGUGCUUAUGUAAUAUAUUAUCACUGGGGGAAACUGAAUGAAGGGGACAUGGGACCUCCCUGUACUAUUUUUUGCAAUUUCUGUUUAUUUAUAAUUAUUAAAAAGUUAAAAAGCCAAAUUGAAAAGUAUCCACUAAAUGCAUAUAUGUUCCUAUAUAAAAUUCAUACUAUUGAUUGCUGUAUGUGUCUUUUCUAUAGGUAGUAUCAUCCCAAAAGUGUCAUUCUGCAAACUUGCCUGCUCACUCAACAUUCCAAUUUUGAGAUCCAUCCAAACUAAUACAUAGAGAACUAGUUCCUCUAAUACUGCAUAGGAUUCUAUUAUAUUAAUAUGUCACAUUUUAUUUAUCCCUUCCCCAACUUACGAACAUUUCGAUUUUUUUUACUGUUAUAAAGCUUGCUGCAAUGAAUAUCCUUGUAUGUGACUUGUGCACAUACAAGUUUUUCUAGUGUAGUAUUUCUUAGACCUAGAAGUAAUAAAAAUACUAGCUGUCAAUAUUUCCUGAGCACUGACUGUAAUAUUACUAUGAUUGGUGAGAAAACCGAGAAGUUAGCUUACUUGCCAAAGGUCACAUAGCUAGUCAAACCUAUCAUGUCCAGCUCCAGCAUCUGCAUUAUUAUCCACUGCAGCACAUGGUUGCCUCCAGCAGUCGGAUAAAAAACUGUUUCAUUGGCCGGAUGUAGAGGCUCACGCCUGUAAUCCCAGCACUUUGGGAGGCUGAGGUGGGCAGAUCACUUGAGGUUGGUAGUUCCAGACCAGCCUGGCCAACAUGACGAAACCACAUCUCUACUAAAAGUACAAAAAGAAAAGAAAAAAAAAAAAAAGCUGGACAUGGUGGCAAGUGCUUGUAAUUCCAGCCACUCAGGAAACUGAGGCAGGAGAAUCGUUUGAUCCCGGGAGGCAGAAGUUGCAGUGAGCGAGGCCACACCACUGGGCGAUAGAGCAAGACGCAAGACUCUCCAAAAAACAAAAACAAAAACCUGUUUCACCACCUGCAAAGGAUAUACUAGAAAAGUGCAGUGAAGCAUUACCUUUAACCAAUUAUAUCAUACAGUUUUCUUUUCUUUUUUUUUUUUUUUUUUUUUUUUUUGAGACGGAGUCUCACUCUGUUGCCCAGGCUGGAGUGCAGUGGUGCAUUCUCGGCUCACUGCAAGCUCUGCCUCCCGGGUUCACGCCAUUCUCCUGCCUCAGCCUCCUGAGUAGCUGGGACUACAGGCGCCCGCCACCAAGCCCAGCUAAUUUUUGUAUUUUUAGUAGAGGUGGGGUUUCACCUUGUUAGUCAGGAUGGUCUCGAUCUCCUGACCUCGUGAUCCGCCUGCCUCGGCCUCCCAAAGUGCUGGGAUUACAGGCAUGAGCCACCGCACCUGGCUCAUACAGUUUUCUUAUUUUGAACUCAUGUUCAGUUAAAAUUUUCUGGUCUCUUUCCCGAAUGCUUAUCCAGGUGUCUUCAAUUUUACUUUGCGAUUUAAUGUUUAAACCUAAAACAGUCUUUUAAAAUCUUAUUCUGGUUAAUUUAGUCUUCUUGAUUUGAGACUAAUUCCGGCAUGUUGAGAUAAAUAUUUAUUUUAAACACAAGAGUUUUCAGAGCAUUACCUAUAAAGUAUUCCUGCCAAAAAUGUUGAACCAGAAUAAAUUGGAUUUUUAGAGGUAACUUCCAUUUAGAGGAAAUAAAAAGGGUAGAGGAAUAAGUUAAAUGAUACCACAGGGAAGCAAAUACACACAUCCAUAAUGCAUAAUAUUCUGUACAACGGUUAACACAGUUUUUGCAACAAAUCGUUGACAGGAUUAAUGUGUGUGCGUGCAUGUGUGUGUGUGCACUCAGGUGCGCAUGUGUGUGUCGACGGGGAGGGGGAAUCUUCUCUAAAUGGAAAGAAAUCUAAGAAACAAAACAACCAAUUGUAAUAAUAUAGACCUUUUUUGUACCUGAAUUUGAAUAAACCAACUAAAAAAAAGAUAUUUAGAGACAAUUUUGAAAGUAGGAUUAUGUGGAUUAGAUGGUAUUAGAAGAUGCCAAGGGAUUAUUGU